AUAACAUUUCGUAUAUAAAAAGAAAGGCAUUCUAUGAAUAUGUACAUUUACUACAGAACUGUAAAUGAUGAUGGACGUCUCAAAGAUAUCCUUUAUUUUACUGUUAGUCGCAUGGAGCGUAUAGGGCGAUGCUGAAGGACUGGCCUCUAAGACUGGAGGGCAAGAGCCCGACACCCGAGUGGUGGGUGGCAAAGACGCACCCGAAGGCCUUGUGCCACACCAAGUCGCUCUGAAAACAAAAAAAGAUGGCUGGACUUUCUGCGGCGGUGCCGUCAUCUCCGACAGAUGGAUACUGACAGCUGCCCAUUGUGUCGAAAGUUUUAAACCAUCCGAAUUAACCGCUGUAGUUGGUACAUUAUCGAAAA